rnacentral:rRNA from 1 species
GACGAACGCUGGCGGCGUGCUUAACACAUGCAAGUCGAGCGGUAAGGCCCUUUCGGGGGUACACGAGCGGCGAACGGGUGAGUAACACGUGGGUGACCUGCCCUCAGCUCUGGGAUAAGCCUGGGAAACUGGGUCUAAUACUGGAUAUGACUCCAUGACGCAUGUUGUGGGGUGGAAAGCCUUGUGCGGCUGAGGAUGGGCCCGCGGCCUAUCAGCUUGUUGGUGGGGUGAUGGCCUACCAAGGCGACGACGGGUAGCCGGCCUGAGAGGGCGACCGGCCACACUGGGACUGAGACACGGCCCAGACUCCUACGGGAGGCAGCAGUGGGGAAUCUUGCGCAAUGGGCGAAAGCCUGACGCAGCGACGCCGCGUGAGGGAUGACGGCCUCGG